CAUGAUGAAAUGUAAUCAAUCCAUCUGCGCCAAUGGCACGGGUUACUGUUCUUCAACCGGAAAUUGCAAAAAAGGAUAUUACCCCAGCACGACUCAGUCCUGCACAGGCUUCGCUUGCACUUGCUGCGUUCCGUGUGGCACCAGCAGUAAUUGCACGAUGAGUGCUGGGUUCUGUCAGUACGUAAGUAAGGCGUGCCCUCCUGGAUACCAGUCGUCCACGAGCCUCUGCUGUCCUAACUCCAGUUGCAGAUGCUGCUACAAAGGAGUCGCUCCCGUUGGCCCAGUUACAUGCCCAGUUCCCCCGCCAAGUGGUAGAGACGGCUACUAGCAGCAACAUCAGCGACGAACAACUAAGAACAGCAGUAGCAACUAACAACCAACAUCACCGACUAACACCAAAUGUAGUAACUAAAAAUAACAACUAACAUCAACAGUAGCAAUGAGCAGCAACAACUAAAAAACCAUAGCCAUAACAGCAGCAAUAACAACAGUAGCAACUAGCAACUGAGUUAACAUUGGACCGAAGUUGCUGGCUUGGCAAGACUGUUUAUGUAUAGUUAUGUUUGACAUACGGGCGCAUUGGACCUUCAAUAACGAAGAUCUGAAAUAUGUAGUUAUUAUUGUUAUCAGAUUCACUGGACCAGUUUCUUGAGAUGCACCAGCAUUCCCUGCUAGACAUAUUGACUGUAUCUUUGUAUAUUUUAAUAAAAGUUCCUUGAUAAUUGACAUUGCUAACAGCAAUAGUAUCUAAGCUGUUCUCACUUUAUAUAACAAAGUUGAAUAGUCAACAAUAAUUAGAAUGGGGAUAUCUCUCACAGGAAUACAAUGUUCCGAAUAAUUCUUUUCAUUAUGAAUAAGCAAGUAUCCCCUGAAGCUAGAGUUUAUGCCCUCCAUUUUCUUCAAUCUCUCACCUAUUAAAGAAAUGGAGUGUAACAGUUCGUCUGUUGCACAGUGCUUGUUUGUAAGUUUAGUUAAUGUCGAAAGAGCGUUGCUGCAUAAAUAUCCUUCGACAGAAAAAAUAGACAAUUUGAUGAUAUAUCUAGAAAAGGAUUAAUAAUUGAAUGGAGAAACUUUAAUCAUACAGUCCGAGUGUACAUCUCGGACUGUAUAAUUGGUUCAUUUAUAAUUAUUAAACCAUCUUAUCCAUAAUUGUUUGUGUAUUUUAGACAAUUAAUUUGUUUGUAAUGAAAAAACCACCUAAAUAUUGCAGAAGAUUAUGUAUAAACCAAAUGCCCUUUGACAACAAUUCACUGGUCUAUAUUGUGUGGUCAAGGUAUAAGAUAAUUUAGAUACUUGUAAUUUGUAAUAGCUUGCUUAUUAUUUGCAUUUAUGAGUUAAUAAAAUAUAAUUGGCUUUAUAA